GGGGCACCCGACAUUGCCCAGGCUUGCUUAGAUGAGGAAGCUAAGGUUCAGACUGUUUAAGUAAUUUACCCCAAGUAGCACGGCUGGUAAAUGAUGGAGCAAAAAUUCCAACCCCGAGUCUGCUUUGGAAGACCUGAUCUUAUCCAGGAUGCCAUCUACCUUCUGUGGGGCAAUAGACCCAGACCACAGAGCAUUUGGAAGAAUCUCACAUAUCACACUCUAAGAAUUGAUAUGUUUUCUGCUUCCUCUUUUCUGGCCUGUCCCAGUGACCUUUCAAACCCCAAAGUCUUGGAAAAAUCCACUGUGUUAACUGACUCUUUACUGAAACUUCAGUCCUGUAGAGAAAAUAAGAGUCUCCAGCUUGUGUCACUUGCUUCAAGUUCCAGUUGGCCUGCAGGGACGUACCACCAAGUGAUCCUGGGAAAACACCGGAACUUUCGUUUCCCUACGUACUAAAUAGGGAUCUAUAAGACCUAUCUUUGGGGUUGUUGUGAGGAUUAACAUGUGGGAAGACUAUCUGGAGCCUGCAAAGUCCAGGCAAUUGCUGGGUCAUGUGAUGAGUAUGGUAGCCAAGUAUGGUGCCUGAAGUAUAAUAAAGAGGAAAAGCCUCCCUAAGGUCUGUCUUCACAGAGCAGAUAUUACAGAGCACUUUAUCCCCAAAUAGUUCAGAAAGCAUCUCCUAAGAAUAAGGACAUUAUCCUCUUUUUAUAUAAUGUAUAUAACCACAAUACUUUUAUUACACCUAAGAAAAGUAAUAAUAAUUCCAGAAUAUCAGAUAUCCCCAGUUGUUUCAAGAAUGCCUUUUAUAGCUGUUUUCAUUGUGCCAAAAUACACAUAACAUAAAACGUACCAUUUUAACCAUUUUUAAAUGUACACUUCAGUGGCAUUAAGUACAGUCAGAUUGUUGUGUAACCAUCACCACCAUCCACCUCCAGAACUUUUUUAUCUACCCCACUGAAACUGCAUCCAGUAAAAUACUAACUCCUCAGCCCCUGGCAACGACCAUUCUACUUUCUGUCUCUAUACAUUUGACAACUCUGGUACUUCAUGUAAAUAGAAUCACACCGUAUUUGUGCUUUUGUGACUGACUUAUUUCACUUAGCACAAUGUCUUCUAGGUUUAUCCAUGUUGUGGCAUGUGUUAGAAUUUCCUCCCUUUUUAAAGCUGAAUGAUAUCCCACUGCAUGUAUAUGCCGCAUUUUGUUUAUCCAUUCAUACAUUGAUGAACACUUUUAUUGCUUCUACUUUUUGGCUAUUGUAAAUAAUGCUGCUAUGAACGGGGGGUACAAAUACCUGUUUGAGUCUUUGAUUCUACUUCUUUUGAGUGUAUAUGCAGAAGUGGGGUUGCUGGAUCAUAUAGUAAUUCUGUGGUUAAUUUUUUGAGGAUUAGCCAUCCCAUUUUUCACAGCAGCCAUACCUUUUUACACACCCACCAGCAAUGCACGAGGGUUCCAAUUUCUCCACAUCCUUACCAAUACUUGUUAUUUUUUGUUGCCUUAUAUUUUAUCUUAUUUUAUUUUAGGGAUGGGGUCUUGCUGUGUUGCACAUGUUGGAGUGCAGUGGCUAUUCACACUUAGUGCACUGCAGCCUCUAACUCCUGGUCUCAAGAAAUUCUCCCACCUCAGCCUCUUGAGUGCUGGGACUACAGCAUCAUUGUGCCUGGCACUUUCUUUUUUUUUUUUUUUUUUUUUUAUAAUAGCCAACUUAAUGUGUUUGAUCUCAUUGUGGUUUUAAUUUGCAUUUCCCUCAUAAUUAGUCUUUUUGUGUGUUUAUUGACCAGUUGUACAUCUUCUUUGGAGAAAUGUCUAUUCAACUCCUUUCCCCAUUUUUCAAUCUGUUAAUUAUUUUGUAGUUGUUCAGUUGUAAGGAUUCUUCGCAUAUUAUGAAUAUCAAUUUGCAAAUAUUUUCUCCCCU
rnacentral:lncRNA from 10 species